rnacentral:rRNA from 1 species
GGACUACCAGGGUUUCUAAUCCCGUUUGCUCCCCUGGCUUUCGUGUCUCAGCGUCAGCACAUCCCCAGCUACCUGUUUUCACCAUUGGCGUUCCAAAUGAUAUCUACGCAUUUCACCGCUCCACCAUUUGUUCCGGUAGCCCCUAGAUGGCUCAAGACAUCCAGUAUACCAAGCAGUUCCACGGUUGAGCCGUGGGAUUUCACAAGGUACUUAGACAUCCGCCUACACACGCUUUAAGCCCAGUGAUUCCGCCUAACGCUUGGCACCUCUGUCUUACCGCGGCUGCUGGCAC